rnacentral:tRNA from 1 species
GGGGAGGUAGUCUAGUCUGGUCUAGGAUUCCAGCUUCGGGAGCUGGCGACCUGGGUUCAAAUCCCAGCCUUCCCA